GAGUUUGUCAUUCACAAAAACGGAAAGGAAUUUCCGCUCCGGAUAAGCCGAGUGCAAACAAGCGGCAGCCGCGGCGCGGCGGGCGGGGGCGGCGGGGGCAGGUGAGGGGGCGCGGCCCGGCGCUCCCCCCGGCGCUCCCCCCGGCCCUCCGCCAGCACCAGCCGCGGGGCGGCCGUCGCAGCCGGCGGAACAAAUGGCACUUUUUCUUUUCUCUCCCUCCCUCCAUAUUUUCGCUCCCUAAGUCAUACCCCGUGGGGGGCGGCCGUGUUCCCCCCAGCUCCCCCGAGCUGAUCGUGGCCCGGCUUUUCAUUAGGGCGUUCUGGGAAUCCCAUUUUUAGGGAGGCGGGUAGGCUCUGUCCUCGGCUGAUCCCUACGGGGGUGAAGAGUAAACCCCGAGCUAAUCUCUUCCUACGCGGCCCGGCUUUAUUCGCUCGCGCAGCGCAGCCGGGAGCCGGCCCCGCCGCAGGAGCAGCCCGCAGGCGCUCCCGCUGCAGCCCGGCGGGCCGCCCCACAAACGCGAGCGGGGAAAGUGGCCCGGCCGGCUCCUCCAGGCAGCCUGCGGCUGAACCGCGCUCGCCCGGCCGCGGCCGUAAUCCGCCGCCAGCAAGGAGCCCGCAGCCAGUCCCGGGAGCGCCGGGGCCGCCGCCAGCUCGGCGGGGUCCGGUGCGGGCCCUCGCACCUGGCAGCGCCCGCACUGGCGGCCCCGCCGCCGCAGCGGCUCCUCCUGCGGGUGCGGCCCCGCCGCCGCCGCCGGCCUGCGCUUCCCCCGGUCCGGCGGGGCGGAAGGGCGCCGCAGCCCCCGCCGUACCGGGAGGCGGACGGGAGGGCUGGGCUGCGGUGCCCGUCCGAGCGGCGCCGGGGUAGCCGGGGACGGGGACACCUGGGGCCGGUGGGCUGGGGGCGCCGCGGGGCCGGAGGCUGAGCCGGGAGCGGCGGUUCCAAGGUGCGGGUUAGCAAAUGGGUAAGAGAAAAGCGAGGAGCGACAAUAAAUCAGGAGAAGCCUGGCCUCAAUGCUAAUCCUGCCACCAACAUCUGCUUUGAAGCAAAAUUGUUGGGAGAGGCUAAUCUCUCUUCAACUGCUGCUGCUUUUCAGGGCUCACUGUUUGUAACCCCAGCUGAAGGAGGUUCUUUAGGUACUGAGUGGCUGGAGAGUGUGACCCUGGGAACAAAUAGUUGCAUGGGCAGUCCUGUGUGUUCCACAAAGAAAAUACCCGUGAUGUUAAUUAAAGUUGGCACAUCAGUCGCUGCAGUUUCAAGCAAGGCUGACACCCAGAUGGCAUUAACAACGUCCUCCCCAGCAGGGAUUUUGAGAGGUUCCCUUCUUGCUACCUUUUUUGAGGCUUGAAAGUGGGACUGAAAUGUUAUGCAAACCUUGCCUCGCCCCUUAGUCGUGAGAUUUCCUUGAACUGAUGUUCAACUCACUGGGCCCGCCACACACCCUGUCCCAUGGCUCAGCGCGGGCAACUUGUCCAGCUCACCUUGCCCACUAUGGACCUGUCCUCUCUUGUUAAAGGCUUUCCAGCCUGUUCUUACCAGGUGCUUCAUUUGCUGCUCUGAUGUGUUCAGAGUAUACUAUUUAAAUGUCCAGAGCAGUAGCAGAUCAACCUAGAAAGCAGAAGCCUUAGGUUUUAUUUAUUUAAGCAUUUUUUUGGAUGGUAGUUGCUAGUUGCCUAGUAGUAUAAAAAUACUAUUACAAUAAGUAAUUAUAGCAUUUAAAGACUUUUUUUUUACCAUUAGGACUCUCAAUUUUGAUGGAAAUGCUAUGAAUGUUCAAGGGUAAAUUUAUGAAGGCAUUAAGAUGUUAGCUAAAGCAUACUGCACUGAAGUGGAGCUGGAGACAGACUUGUAAUGGUGGUAGCUGUAGUCUGCUCAGUGCAUGGCAGCAGUCUGAGGGUGGCAUUUGGUGAUCUGGGACCCAGGCAGGAGAUUUUGCACUGCAGCAGAGUUAAACCAGUCAAAUACAAAUAGCACCCUUUGAAUUUGUAGUAGUACCUUCUUCAGCACACACCAGCUGAAAAACUUUAAAGAGAAUGAGAGCUGUGUGCCACCUUGUUGUCUUUCUGUUUGCAUGCAUAUAUGCACUCCCUUUUCCUCUUUCUGCCUGCACCACUCUGUCCUGUGAGUCACUGAGGGAUGCUGAAGCAGAUUCAGUUAACCAUGCUACCAUCUGAUGCUUUGUCAGAGACCAGAUGUACAACCCAAGCUUCACCGGGAGACUAAUUAUCUUUCAACUUCCAGAAGCUUUUGUAGUUCCUCAGUAGUGAGAAGAGCCUAUUCCUGUCAGCCAUGAUCCCUUCAUUCACCCUGCCUCUAGCAGUUAGGUUUUCAACUCUGAAAUGUUUAUUUCUGGAUAGGAAUGGACAUGUGUUUAUUUAUUUUUAUUUUUGUGGGUUUUUUUCCGCUUCCUUGUCUGCAAAUAAUUCUUCAGUCCAGCUCAAAGCUUAUUAGUAACAAAUAGCCUAUUUUGCUGGGCUUUUGGACCAUUUUUCUCAUUUGUAACAUGUGUAGAGGACCCAAUAGAUCUCCAUGAGUGCUUAUGACCUGAGCUUGUCUUGGCCAGACAUGUAGGACAAGAGCAUUGCAUGGAUGACAGUGAUUAAAAUUUAGUUUUGUUUUGCCCAAUUUCUUCAUACCUCUCCCUGUAAUAGAAGCUCUGGCCCUGAAUUCAACAGACAGGCUAUCUACAUAGUGUAAUGGGAGAGAGAAGCACCAAAAAGGCAGGUAUCUAUGACAUUUUGAAACUAGGCCAACUGGGUCACUCUGAGACACUUCACAGUCUGGAAUACUAAGGCAGCAAUGUAGAGGCAUCCUCAGAAGGCUAGGUACUGAUGAAGAAGUUUCUUCUUGCAUUAGACAUCAGGGUAUGAGAAUUUAUUUUUUUUUAUAUAGGUGCUUUCUUCCUCUAAAGAUUUAGCUUCAUGCUUCUCUUCUACUUAAUUGAAGUAGAAUUUUAUGGGAGUCUGUCUUUCUAUGAGAAGAUAGGCAUAAAAUAUAUAGGAAAGGGUUUUCUGCUUCUUUAUUCACUCCUUUCCCAUGUUGCAUUAAUCAAUAUUUAUAAAAGCAGCCUUCAUUUUCCACAUCCCACUGGUGAUCUGAAUCAAAAUAGCAGGGACACCUUCUGUAUCUGCAGUGUUUAACUUCAGGCAAGCAAAGAACACUCUGGGACUGACAGCUGGAGAAGACCAAGGAUCAUAACACAUGCUGGCAUCGGGAUUUUGGGUGAGAUGCCAAUUCAACUCAACUCUGGAAGUGCAAGAGCUUGGAAAAUGUAGUGAAGACAGGUUUCUCCACUGGCAGGUCAUACUUAGAUGAAAAGUCCCUCAUGGGGACUUCUCCUGGGCUAGGCAGGCCUGCACCAAACUAGAUACACACAGUGGCAGAGGGUUUGGAAUUGAUCAGUUACUCUGAUCAUCCAUUAAGCUGGGUUCAGCACAUUGCCUUCGGAAAGAAGGGGAAGAUGAACUUCUGACCACAGAGACAGUAGAGAUGAGACAGGAGAAACAAGCCAAAAGGAAAGGUCCAGCUGCCUGGCAGGCUGAGCUCCAACCAGACAUUGCAAAACCUUCAUAAGAACAUGUGGCUAUAUUUUCUAUGAAGUGGCCCUUGGACCAAGGUGAAUUUUACCUUCCAAAAAUCAACUUCAGCUGAAGCAACUCAAAGACCAGGAAAGAGGUUGGAAAGUGCUCCCUCAGGAGCUCAGAGGUUCAGUCCUCUGCACCCGUGAGUCCUCCUUGCAACACUGGCAGAUAGAUCCAGCCCCUCCUUGAGGCUACAUGGAAGAGACUUGACAUCUUGGCUCAGUUUAAGGUGCUCAGACUGCAGAUUGGGCCCAAAAGAUGGGCCAGCCCUCCCAUGGCC